GAUCCUGGCUCAGAUUGAACGCUGGCGGCAUGCUUUACACGUGCAAGUCGAACGGCAGCACGGAGAGCUUGCUCUCUGGUGGCGAGUGGCGCACGGGUGAGUAAUACAUCGGAACGUGUCCUGUUGUGGGGGACAACCGGUCGAAAGACCGGCUAAUACCGCAUAAGACCUGAGGGUGAAAGCGGGGGAUCGCAAGACCUCGCGCAAUUGGAGCGGCCGAUGCCCGAUUAG
rnacentral:rRNA from 1 species